AUGGCCAGUGCUUGCGUGCUCCGUGGUGCGGUGCUUGUGGUGUGCGUCCUCCUGGUUCUCUCGUCCGCAUCUGCAGCGGCCGAGGCGGCUGGCCGGCAAAGAGGUCAUGGGAGAGAGGCCACGGCGCCGGCGGCGAUGGCAAUGGCAGCAGGAGGGCGCUUCGUCAGGAAGGUGCUGCGGGAGGAGAUGGUCCAGGCGGGACGCCAGGGCGACAUUGGCCAGUCUAAGAGGACCAGCCCCGGCGGCCCAGACCCGCAGCAUCACUAG
rnacentral:rRNA from 1 species